rnacentral:lncRNA from 1 species
AAUAUUAUCACCCUAUUCAAAGGGUUGGAAGAGUCUUGUUUGGAGUUGUGUGGGGUUGAAUAAUUAUGUUUGUAAUAUUUCAGAAGAUGGCAGAAAAAUAAAAAAAUAGAAAAAGAAAAUAGAAAAGAAAAAAAAGAAAUGAAAAAAUAGAAGGAUAAGAGGAAGAAAAAAAAGAAAUUAUGUUUGUAAUAUUUCAAUACAUG